rnacentral:lncRNA from 1 species
CUGCCCAGCUGCAAUGGCAGUCCAGAUUAAUCCCUUUUCUAGAAUAUUGCCCUCCAUUUAUUGAAUGUUAGGAACUUUCAGUGACUUAUUUUGAAAUCUUACAACUCAAGAUGUUAUUUUCCCCAUUUCACUUUUAGGGAAACAGGCUCAGAAAGGUGUAGGGACUUAGCGCCUGAGCAGUUGAGUAAGAAUCUGCAUCUAGGACUUUCUGACUCCUGAGCUGUCAUAGCACAGCUAUACUCAAUCCUCCUGGUUGUCACAGUUUUAUACUGUGCAAAACUCCCUCCCUAUGUGAUCUGUAAGACCCUUCAGAUCAAGCGGCAUGAGAGUAAGAGCUGAUUUUGCUAACUCCUUCGUCCCCGCGCCCGCCCGAAGACCACCCACACCUAACCAGCGAUCAAUGAGUACUUGUUGAAAGAACAAAUGAGCCGGGGAUGUAGCUCAGUGGCGCCGCCUGCCUCGCAAGCACAAGGUCCCGAGUUCCAUCCCCGCUACCAAAAACACCCAAAACCAAAAACCAAGAACAAAUGAAGUAAGGUGGAGGAAAAGCGCGUGGCCUGUAACAGAGCCUCGCCGCCCUGCCUGACCCCGCUCUGGCCCGAGGCCUGAGAAGCAUCCAGAGAGGCUGCUGAGUGGAACCUAGAAGGUGACAGACCCCGGGACACGUAAAAAUAAACUGGACACUGGCAGAUCAUGGCUGCAAUAGAGGAGGUUCGAUGCCCCGAUGGUCCUCUGAUGCUGGGUCUGUGCACUGAGCCAGGGCCUGCAGGAAUCACAGCCAGCCCCGUGAAUCCAGCUGGGGCGCGUCAGGAAUCGGCCUCACCUUGACUCACCAUCAUCACGGUCACCUGCCUGCCGUCUCCCUGCCGGCGUCCUGG